rnacentral:rRNA from 1 species
GGUUAAGCGACUAAGCGUACACGGUGGAUGCCCUGGCAGUCAGAGGCGAUGAAGGGCGUGCUAAUCUGCGAUAAGCGCCGGUAAGGUGAUAUGAACCGUUAUAACCGGCGAUACCCGAAUGGGGAAACCCAGUGUGAUUCGUCACACUAUCAUUAACUGAAUCCAUAGGUUAAUGAGGCGAACCGGGGGAACUGAAACAUCUAAGUACCCCGAGGAAAAGAAAUCAACCGAGAUUCCCCCAGUAGCGGCGAGCGAACGGGGAGGAGCCCAGAGCCUGAAUCAGCAUGUGUGUUAGUGGAAGCGUCUGGAAAGGCGCGCGAUACAGGGUGACAGCCCCGUACACAAAAGCGCAUGUGCUGUGAGCUCGAUGAGUAGGGCGGGACACGUGGUAUCCUGUCUGAAUAUGGGGGGACCAUCCUCCAAGGCUAAAUACUCCUGACUGACCGAUAGUGAACCAGUACCGUGAGGGAAAGGCGAAAAGAACCCCGGCGAGGGGAGUGAAAAAGAACCUGAAACCGUGUACGUACAAGCAGUGGGAGCACAGGUUUACCUGUGUGACUGCGUACCUUUUGUAUAAUGGGUCAGCGACUUAUAUUCUGUAGCAAGGUUAACCGAAUAGGGGAGCCGGAGGGAAACCGAGUCUUAAUUGGGCGUUAAGUUGCAGGGUAUAGACCCGAAACCCGGUGAUCUAGCCAUGGGCAGGUUGAAGGUUGGGUAACACUAACUGGAGGACCGAACCGACUAAUGUUGAAAAAUUAGCGGAUGACCUGUGGCUGGGGGUGAAAGGCCAAUCAAACCGGGAGAUAGCUGGUUCUCCCCGAAAGCUAUUUAGGUAGCGCCUCGUGAAUUCAUCUCCGGGGGUAGAGCACUGUUUCGGCUAGGGGGCCAUCCCGGCUUACCAACCCGAUGCAAACUGCGAAUACCGGAGAAUGUUAUCACGGGAGACACACGGCGGGUGCUAACGUCCGUCGUGAAGAGGGAAACAACCCAGACCGCCAGCUAAGGUCCCAAAGUCAUGGUUAAGUGGGAAACGAUGUGGGAAGGCCCAGACAGCCAGGAUGUUGGCUUAGAAGCAGCCAUCAUUUAAAGAAAGCGUAAUAGCUCACUGGUCGAGUCGGCCUGCGCGGAAGAUGUAACGGGGCUAAACCAUGCACCGAAGCUGCGGCAGCGACGCUGAUGCGUUGUUGGGUAGGGGAGCGUUCUGUAAGCCUGCGAAGGUGACCUGUGAGGGUUGCUGGAGGUAUCAGAAGUGCGAAUGCUGACAUAAGUAACGAUAAAGCGGGUGAAAAGCCCGCUCGCCGGAAGACCAAGGGUUCCUGUCCAACGUUAAUCGGGGCAGGGUGAGUCGACCCCUAAGGCGAGGCCGAAAGGCGUAGUCGAUGGGAAACGGGUUAAUAUUCCCGUACUUGGUGUUACUGCGAAGGGGGGACGGAGAAGGCUAUGUUGGCCGGGCGACGGUUGUCCCGGUUUAAGCGUGUAGGUGUGUGUUCCAGGUAAAUCCGGUUCACUUUAACACUGAGGCGUGACGACGAGGCACUACGGUGCUGAAGCAACAAAUGCCCUGCUUCCAGGAAAAGCCUCUAAGCAUCAGGUAACAUCAAAUCGUACCCCAAACCGACACAGGUGGUCAGGUAGAGAAUACCAAGGCGCUUGAGAGAACUCGGGUGAAGGAACUAGGCAAAAUGGUGCCGUAACUUCGGGAGAAGGCACGCUGACACGUAGGUGAAGUGAUUUACUCAUGGAGCUGAAGUCAGUCGAAGAUACCAGCUGGCUGCAACUGUUUAUUAAAAACACAGCACUGUGCAAACACGAAAGUGGACGUAUACGGUGUGACGCCUGCCCGGUGCCGGAAGGUUAAUUGAUGGGGUCAGCGCAAGCGAAGCUCCUGAUCGAAGCCCCGGUAAACGGCGGCCGUAACUAUAACGGUCCUAAGGUAGCGAAAUUCCUUGUCGGGUAAGUUCCGACCUGCACGAAUGGCGUAAUGAUGGCCAGGCUGUCUCCACCCGAGACUCAGUGAAAUUGAACUCGCUGUGAAGAUGCAGUGUACCCGCGGCAAGACGGAAAGACCCCGUGAACCUUUACUAUAGCUUGACACUGAACAUUGAGCCUUGAUGUGUAGGAUAGGUGGGAGGCUUUGAAGUGUGGACGCCAGUCUGCAUGGAGCCGACCUUGAAAUACCACCCUUUAAUGUUUGAUGUUCUAACGUGGACCCGUAAUCCGGGUUGCGGACAGUGUCUGGUGGGUAGUUUGACUGGGGCGGUCUCCUCCUAAAGAGUAACGGAGGAGCACGAAGGUUGGCUAAUCCUGGUCGGACAUCAGGAGGUUAGUGCAAUGGCAUAAGCCAGCUUGACUGCGAGCGUGACGGCGCGAGCAGGUGCGAAAGCAGGUCAUAGUGAUCCGGUGGUUCUGAAUGGAAGGGCCAUCGCUCAACGGAUAAAAGGUACUCCGGGGAUAACAGGCUGAUACCGCCCAAGAGUUCAUAUCGACGGCGGUGUUUGGCACCUCGAUGUCGGCUCAUCACAUCCUGGGGCUGAAGUAGGUCCCAAGGGUAUGGCUGUUCGCCAUUUAAAGUGGUACGCGAGCUGGGUUUAGAACGUCGUGAGACAGUUCGGUCCCUAUCUGCCGUGGGCGCUGGAGAACUGAGGGGGGCUGCUCCUAGUACGAGAGGACCGGAGUGGACGCAUCACUGGUGUUCGGGUUGUCAUGCCAAUGGCACUGCCCGGUAGCUAAAUGCGGAAGAGAUAAGUGCUGAAAGCAUCUAAGCACGAAACUUGCCCCGAGAUGAGUUCUCCCUGAGACUUAGAGUCUCCUGAAGGAACGUUGAAGACGACGACGUUGAUAGGCCGGGUGUGUAAGCGCAGCGAUGCGUUGAGCUAACCGGUACUAAUGAACCGUGAGGCUUAACCUU